UUAGAAUUUGGUUUAGAAUUUAGGGUUUAGGAUUUGGUUUAGGAUUUAGGAUUUAGGAUUUGGUUAGGAUUUUAUUUAAGGUUAUGAUUUUGUAAGGGUUUGAUUUAGGAUUAAGGCUUGCUUAGGGUUUGGUUUAGGAUUUAGGAUUUGGUUUAGGAUUUGGUUUAGGAUUUAGGAUUUGAUUUAGGAUUUAAGGUUUGAUUAGGAUUUGGUUUAAGGUUUAGGAUUUGGUUAGGAUUUGAUUUAGGAUCAGAGUUUGGUUAGGGUUUGAUUUAGGAUUAGAAUUUAUUUUAGGAUUUAGGAUUUGAUUAGGAUUUGUUUAGGAUUUGAUUUAGGAUUUAGGAUUUUAUUAGGGUUUUUUUAGGAUUUAAAAUUUAGUUAAUUUUUGGCCUAAAGUUUGAAUGAAGUCCAAUAGAGUUUUAACUAGGAUUAAAUUAAGAUUGAAUUGAGAUGUAUUUGAGAUUUAUUUGUGAUCAUUCUAAUAUUUCUUUAAGAUUUCUUAUUGUUUCUUUGUAAUUCCUUUGAGAUUUCUUUGAAUUUGAUUAA
rnacentral:lncRNA from 1 species